rnacentral:rRNA from 1 species
ACAUGCAAGUCGAACGGAGCUUAGAGAGCUGCUUUUAGCUAGUGCGAACGGGUGAGUAACGCGUGAGUAACCUGCCCUAGAGUGGGGGACAACAGUUGGAAACGACUGCUAAUACCGCAUAAGCCCACGGUACCGCAUAGUACUGAGGAAAAAAGGAUUUAUUCGCUUUAGGGUGGACUCGCGUCCAAUUAGCUAGUUGGUGAGGUAACGGCCCACCAAGGCGACGAUUGGUAGCCGGACUGAGAGGUUGAACGGCCACAUUGGAACUGAGACACGGUCCAAACUCC